UCUGUGUCGCGAAUUAAAAUGAAAAAGUUGUAUGCCCGACGUACAGAGGGACAUGAGUUCAGUCCGGGAGACCAGGUCCUAGCACAUUUUGUGUUCUCCAUUUCAGGCUGAAUACAGAGAUUCAUACACAGUCCCGGAGAAAGUGUCGGAGUUGAAUUAUGUCAUUGGAAACCCAAGACCGUAGGAAGGUCAAGCGUCUUCGCCAUGUAAAUCUCCUGAAGCCAUGCUGCAGGCGGGAACACCCAGAUUCUGUACUGACAUGAGAAAGCAGAAAGGUCAGUUCUCACAGGAGACCCAGUGACCUGUCAGAGGGCGGAGGGGAGGAAUGAUGCACAGGCCCUGCUACGCUGACGCUGUCCUGGUGUGGAACGUGACAGAAUGAUCAGCAAGACCUGCUCCCACCCGGAAACAACUAAACAAUAGGAGAUUGGCUUCAACUCUUCUUUUUAGUCUUCUUGAUUCGCAAAUGUCAAAGCGGCGCGUCGCGGCCUCUCUGUGGUAAACAGAGUGCCUGGUUACUCUACUCAGUUUCAAAUGGAAGAAGCUCUGUUUGGUUUCUUUCUGCUCUCUGUGAUCACAGAUACAUGUUCUCCAUAGUGGUGCAGAUGAGUCCUCAAACCGGGCAUUCAGUGAGCACGUUUGCACACGACAAGAUAUUUAGAUGCUUUUUUUCUGUAAUAUAAAAUCUGUCAUGUUGGCUAUUUGUGAAGCGUGUGGCUUUGAAGGGUAUUAAAAUAGACGGUUGCUAAGAAGUAGCUAGAAUGAGACCAGAAAACACCUUCACAGCGCCGUUGUGUGCGCUCAUACUCACCCGACCGCGGAGUGGUUUGUUCAUGGCCAAACCCGUCUUUUUUAUUUCUGCCGAAUAUGUUCACGCUUUGGUGUUGACAAUUUGUGAAGAUUAUCUCUCGCUAAACAAAACGUGUCAGUUUCAAAGACUUAUGUUUGCCACAAAGCCGAUUUUCUGGAGAAAAAUGCAAUGCAAUAAAUGGAAUGAAAAACUCCCAUUUGCUUUUCUAAUUACAAACUAGUGCGACGCUAACUUCAUGUGUACAAAGAUCGGUCGCCUCUGCACCGCUGCACCGCUGCCGUCCUGGAUUAUGAUUGGCUGAGGCACUCAAAAUACCCCAUGAACAAACAGCUGGGACCGCACUGCAUCAGUAUCACGGUUAUUAAAGUUUCAAGCACGAUGAUUGUGCGGCUCGUCUGGUCGGAAGUGUUUUGACGCUUGUGUGACCCCCAUUUACUUCAAGUUACACAGAUGGACUUUAAUCUGUUCGCUGUGGAGGCGAGUGAGCGAGCAUCAUUCACUGUCCUUUACAGAGACUCACCUGGUUUUAUCGUCCUGUUUUUUUUCUUCUUUUUUUGCAUUUCACCUUGUUGUUGUCUGUUUCUUUUUAUGCUUUUAGAGAAAUGUAUGAAGUAGGUCAACGUGUAGAUACUGAAUGUGAUUUAUAAACAUUAUUUGUCAGUAUUUUUGCAUAUUUUUGCAUGGGUGUAAACAAAAAAAUC
ensembl:lncRNA